AACGGGGGGGGGCGAGUGUUAUACGUCAUGACUGGGCGUAAAGGGUAAGUAGGUUGUUAUUUAACUUUAGAAUGAAACUAAAAAGUGGAUAGCUUGAGUUUGGUAGAGGUUAGCGGUACUCUUGAUGGAAGGGUAAAAUCUAAUGAUAUCAAAGUGGACCACCGAUAGGCGAAGGCGGCUAACCAGACCAGAACUGACACUGAGGUACUAAAGCGUAGGGAGCAAACGGG
rnacentral:rRNA from 1 species